rnacentral:tRNA from 1 species
GGCCGCGUGGCCUAAUGGAUAAGGCGUCUGACUUCGAAUCAGAAGUUUGCGAGUUCGAAUCACGUCGUGGUCU